CCUACGGGGUGCUGCAGUGAGGAAUAUUGGUCAAUGGACGGAAGUCUGAACCAGCCAAGUAGCGUGAAGGAUGACUGCCCUAUGGGUUGUAAACUUCUUUUAUAUGGGAAUAAAAUGUUCCACGUGUGGGAUUUUGUAUGUACCAUAUGAAUAAGGAUCGGCUAACUCCGUGCCAGCAGCCGCGGUAAUACGGAGGAUCCGAGCGUUAUCCGGAUUUAUUGGGUUUAAAGGGAGCGUAGGUGGAUUGUUAAGUCAGUUGUGAAAGUUUGCGGCUCAACCGUAAAAUUGCAGUUGAAACUGGCAGUCUUGAGUACAGUAGAGGUGGGCGGAAUUCGUGGUGUAGCGGUGAAAUGCUUAGAUAUCACGAAGAACUCCGAUUGCGAAGGCAGUUCACUGGACUGCAACUGACACUGAGGCUCGAAAGUGUGGGUAUCAAACAGGAUUAGAUACCCUUGUAGUC
rnacentral:rRNA from 1 species